UUUUCAGAAUAUUUUGGUUAUUCUUUCAAAAUUCACAACCACUUUAGAUAAAAAUGGCAGCCUAUGGCAAUCCAUUUGUUGUGGCCCCUCCACCUGAAGAUGAUGGUUGUCUGUCCCAGCUUCCUUCUCAGAUACCCUCUCAGAUAUAUCCAACUUCGCCUUCUACUUCAAGAUGGACAACUGGUAUGUGGGACUUUGAGAGCCAUGAGAGCCACGACCAUCCAAAUGUUAGUGAAUUACGUACAGUCCCC